rnacentral:rRNA from 1 species
AUUGAACGCUGGCGGCAUGCCUUACACAUGCAAGUCGAGCGGGGACUUCGGUCCUAGCGGCGGACGGGUGAGUAACGCGUGGGAACGUGCCCUUUGCUUCGGAAUAGCCCCUGGAAACGGGGAGUAAUACCGGAUGUGCCCUUUGGGGAAAGAAUUUCGGCAAAGGAUCGGCCCGCGUUGGAUUAGGUAGUUGGUGGGGUAAUGGCCUACCAAGCCGACGAUCCAUAGCUGGUUUGAGAGGAUGAUCAGCCACACUGGGACUGAGACACGGCCCAGACUCCUACGGGAGGCAGCAGUGGGGAAUCUUAGACAAUGGGCGCAAGCCUGAUCUAGCCAUGCCGCGUGAGCGAUGAAGGCCCUUAGGGUUGUAAAGCUCUUUCGUGGGGGAAGAUAAUGACGGUACCCCAAGAAGAAGCCCCCGGCUAACUCCGUGCCAGCAGCCGCGGUAAU